GUUCUUGUAGUUGAAUAACAACGGUGGAUUUUCAUAUCAUUAGUCCUGGUUAAAAUCCGGGCAGGAAUU
rnacentral:tRNA from 1 species